CCUACGGGUGGCAGCAGUGGGGGAUAUUGCACAAUGGGGGGAACCCUGAUGCAGCGACGCCGCGUGGGUGAAGGAGUGCUUCGGCAUGUAAAGCCCUAUCGGCAGGGAAGAAGCAAUACGGUACCUGACUAAGAAACCCCGGCUAACUACGUGCCAGCAGCCGCGGCAAUACGUAGGGGGCGAGCGUUAUGCGGAUCCACUGGGUGUAACGGGAGCGUAGACGGCCAAGCGAGCGAGGGGGGAAAGCCCGGGGCCCCACCCCGGGGCAGCCCUUGGAACUGGCGGGGUGGAGGGCGGGAGGGGCAGGCGGAAUGCGGGGUGUAGCGGUGAAAUGCAUAGAUAUCAGGAGGAACCCCGAGGGCGAAGGCAGCCGGCUGGUGCGCGACUGACGGUGAGGCGCGAAAGCGUGGGUAGCGAACAGGAUUAGAGACCCGAGUAGUC
rnacentral:rRNA from 1 species